rnacentral:rRNA from 1 species
UGGGGAAUCUUAGACAAUGGGGGCAACCCUGAUCUAGCCAUGCCGCGUGAGUGAUGAAGGCCUUAGGGUCGUAAAGCUCUUUCGCCUGUGAUGAUAAUGACAGUAGCAGGUAAAGAAACCCCGGCUAACUCCGUGCCAGCAGCCGCGGUAAUACGGAGGGGGUUAGCGUUGUUCGGAAUUACUGGGCGUAAAGCGCGCGUAGGCGGAUUAGAAAGUUGGGGGUGAAAUCCCGGGGCUCAACCUCGGAACUGCCUCCAAAACUGCUAGUCUAGAGUUCGAGAGAGGUGAGUGGAAUUCCGAGUGUAGAGGUGAAAUUCGUAGAUAUUCGGAGGAACACCAGUGGCGAAGGCGGCUCACUGGCUCGAUACUGACGCUGAGGUGCGAAAGUGUGGGGAGCAAACAGG